AGCGAACGCUGGCGGCAGGCUUAACACAUGCAAGUCGAGCGCCCCGCAAGGGGAGUGGCAGACGGGUGAGUAACACGUGGGAACGUACCCUUUGGUUCGGAAUAACUUGGGGAAACUCAAGCUAAUACCGGAUAAGCCCUUAUGGGGAAAGGUUUACUGCCGAAGGAUCGGCCCGCGUCUGAUUAGCUAGUUGGUGAGGUAAUGGCUCACCAAGGCGACGAUCAGUCGCUGGUCUGAGAGGAUGAUCAGCCACACUGGGACUGAGACACGGCCCAGACUCCUACGGGAGGCAGCAGUGGGGAAUAUUGGACAAUGGGGGCAACCCUGAUCCAGCCAUGCCGCGUGAGUGAUGAAGGCCUCAGGGUUGUAAAGCUCUUUUACCCGGGACGAUAAUGACUGUACCGGGAGAAUAAGCCCCGGCUAACUUCGUGCCAGCCGCCGCAGUAA
rnacentral:rRNA from 1 species